rnacentral:rRNA from 1 species
UGCAGUCGAACGGAAGGCCCUUUCGGGGGUACUCGAGUGGCGAACGGGUGAGUAACACGUGGGUGAUCUGCCCUGCACUUUGGGAUAAGCCUGGGAAACUGGGUCUAAUACCGGAUAUACCUCAUGGACUGCAUGGUUUGUGGGGGAAAGCUUUUGCGGUGUGGGAUGGGCCCGCGGCCUAUCAGCUUGUUGGUGGGGUGAUGGCCUACCAAGGCGACGACGGGUAGCCGGCCUGAGAGGGUGACCGGCCACACUGGGACUGAGAUACGGCCCAGACUCCUACGGGAGGCAGCAGUGGGGAAUAUUGCACAAUGGGCGCAAGCCUGAUGCAGCGACGCCGCGUGAGGGAUGACGGCCUUCGGGUUGUAAACCUCUUUCAGCAGGGACGAAGCGCAAGUGACGGUACCUGUAGAAGAAGGACCGGCCAACUACGUGCCAGCAGCCGCGGUAAUACGUAGGGUCCGAGCGUUGUCCGGAAUUACUGGGCGUAAAGAGCUCGUAGGUGGUUUGUCGCGUUGUUCGUGAAAACUCACAGCUCAACUGUGGGCGUGCGGGCGAUACGGGCAGACUUGAGUACUGCAGGGGAGACUGGAAUUCCUGGUGUAGCGGUGGAAUGCGCAGAUAUCAGGAGGAACACCGGUGGCGAAGGCGGGUCUCUGGGCAGUAACUGACGCUGAGGAGCGAAAGCGUGGGGAGCGAACAGGAUUAGAUACCCUGGUAGUCCACGCCGUAAACGGUGGGUACUAGGUGUGGGUUUCUUCCUUGGGAUCCGUGCCGUAGCUAACGCAUUAAGUACCCCGCCUGGGGAGUACGGCCGCAAGGCUAAAACUCAAAGAAAUUGACGGGGGCCCGCACAAGCGGCGGAGCAUGUGGAUUAAUUCGAUGCAACGCGAAGAACCUUACCUGGGUUUGACAUGCACAGGACGCUGGUAGAGAUAUCAGUUCCCUUGUGGCCUGUGUGCAGGUGGUGCAUGGCUGUCGUCAGCUCGUGUCGUGAGAUGUUGGGUUAAGUCCCGCAACGAGCGCAACCCUUGUCUCAUGUUGCCAGCACGUAAUGGGUGGGG